GCAUAUCAAUAAGCGGAGGAAAAGAAACUAACAAGGAUUCCCCUAGUAGCGGCGAGCGAACCGGGAUGAGCUCAAAUUUGUAAUCUGGCGUCCUCCGGGCGUCCGAGUUGUAAUCUAUAGAAGCGUCUUCCGUGCCGGACCGCGUCCAAGUCCCUUGGAACAGGGCGUCAAAGAGGGUGACAAUCCCGUGCUUGAUGCGACGACCGGUGCACUGUGAUACGCUCUCUACGAGUCGAGUUGUUUGGGAAUGCAGCUCAAAGUGGGUGGUAAAUUCCAUCUAAAGCUAAAUAUUGGCAAGAGACCGAUAGCGAACAAGUACCGUGAGGGAAAGAUGAAAAGCACUUGGAAAGAGAGU
rnacentral:rRNA from 1 species